AACUUCAGUGAGAGUGUGCCUAAUCUCGUUCAGAUGUGAGUUCUGAUACUCUUUGUCACAGGUUUUCAUUCAUACACCUGCCUUCCUUCCCGGAACAGUUUGUACCAUUUUAGUUGCCCACCUGCUUCACCAUGAAUAUCUCUACGUACCUUUCCAGGCUUCCAAAAAGUACCCGUGAGGAGCUCCUCAAACAGCCACAUUGCUGCCUGGCACUUUUUAAAAAUUUAAGCGAGCAAGAUCGCCUCCUCGUACUACAUCUUAUGGUCUCUCCCCUCCCGUAUUCUACCCUCUGUUCAAGUCCCGAUAAAUUAUCGCCGAAUUUAUAUCUACCGCCGACAAAGGAGAAGGCAGACAUCGCAUUUCCCGCAAUUUCUAUCUCAAACACUGAAAAGGAUUUUUGCUCAAUGAAGGAAAAAAAUGAAUUCAAAGUUGCUCAAGACAAUUUCGUCCUCGUAGAGCUUCAAAUAAUAACGCCACUGUCGAAUAACAACUUGCUUGUUAUUGAGAAUGGCUAUGUCUCUCUAGAAGAAAUUUUUCGCGUAACGCUGUAUCGAGCUUUUCAAACUGUUCCAAUUAAACCUGUAGUUUUAGACAGUAAGAUACAGAAAUCAUAUGUUGACUCACCGACACUUUUGGAAUAUUGUAAGAGUAAGUGGGAGUAUAUUAUUAUGCCGCUAGUGGAGCUUGCCUUACCCGAUAAUAAAUUCUUUCAGAUAUUCGGAAAAGCAAACCGAUCAACAAAAUUAGAUAAAAAGCUCUACCAGUUAUAUAGAGAUUCUAAGCUGAUAGACGAUUCUGGUACCUCUCAACUGUCUCUUGUAACAAGCGGGUAUAAAUUUUUGCUGUCCGAUAUUUCGUCGCAGCUAUGGCUACUCUUGUCUAAUUGGAUUUCUAAUCACAUCGAUGUAUCUAUUCAGGCUAAAAUCGUCGACUUUCUUAUAUACCUAUCCACAGUCUUGUCUCAAAGUGUGGUCUAUUCCGUUAACCAAUUCUCAACUCAGCAGCAACAGUUUUUGCAAGACUUGGAAUUUUUUGGUUUUGUUUACUUUUUAAAAACGGAUGACCAGCUGACACAUUUUUGUACAACACCACUUUGUACUCAGAUCUUUGAAGAGUCAAGCAAACAAGAUAGAAAUGUCUCAGACUUCGGAAACUGGUUAGGAGGAAUUCUAGUCGAGUCGAAUUUCUAUUUAUACGCAUAUACAGAUUCUCUAGCCGUAAUUGCAUCUAUAGCUCUUUUCGCUGAAAUUUUGCAUAGACUUCCAAACCUUUGUACUGCUAAAAUUACGAGAAAAAGUGUCAAUUCCGCGUUUAAACUCGGUAUUCAUGCUAAGCAUAUUAUUGAUUACCUUUAUAUGAAUAGACGCACUGUCUCUUCAGAUCAAUUGGUUGGAUUACAAGCAACAGAAAAUGAGUUGUCACUGACGUUUCCCGGAUCAGGGACUAGUUUGCAUGAGGACGAGGAACUAAAACAAAUGUUUUUGGGAUCUGACCGCAGCUCCCGGGUGACACAGCAAGUUGAAGAGCAAUUGUUAUUUUGGGAAGAAGAGCGGUUUCGGUUUGAAUGGCAUUACGCUAUUUGGUGGGAAUUUGAACCUAGCGAUCACCCAGAGCUAUAUCAGUCGAUCAAAGAGCAUGCUGAAAUGCUCGGCUACUUAUUGUGGAAUGGAGAUGAUAAGCAGAAGGUUUUAUGUAUAAAAAAAAUAGGCCAUAAUUCACUCGUCGAAUUCUAUUACAAGUUAAAGAGCCGUCUAGAAUAAUUUGGUUUCUUAUUUGGCUGCAUUGUUAAGAAAAACAUUUCUCUGGCUCUUGAGAGGUUCAAUGAAAACGCAAGAGUCGUUUUUUUAAUACAGCCAAAAAUUGUCUUUCUUCGUGAUAUAUAUACGUAAAGUAUAACUUCAAACAGCAACUUUGGUUUGAAAUAUCUGAAAUAGAUUAAAUAUCAAACGAACAGCAAUAUGUAAUACCAUCAUUCACUUACAUGUGUAUUGGAAAGUUCCUUUGGCAGAUAUGUUUUGUGGCUGUAGAGCAAGUCAAACAUUCUUUUUUCGUUCGAUGAAUAAAAGUAGUACAUCUAAAAUAACAAUCAAUGGUAAUUUGAUGUGAAAGAAGAGUAAAUUGGCUUUUUUUUUAAAUGCAAAUUUCUGCCGAAAGUACUCAGAAGAGCUCUCUGUCGAUUGAUUGCUAUAUGCCAUCCGUCAUGCGAGGAACUGGUUUAUGAAUAUCUGGUUGAGGAGCCUGACAGUUUAAGUUGUAGCAUUCAGUAACUACUAUUAUCUGUAUUCCUUGGCCAAUGUCAACCCCUGGAUUAAUACUUGAGCGAGUACACCUGAAAGGUGAGUAGAAGGAGUCCGAAAACUGCAUUUUCUUUGUUGCGGUGACGGGUAUAGAUGGAAAAGAGCAGAAAGAUCUGCGCAAUGAUGAAACCAGUAUAAAAUUUGUUCGAAGGAGAUUAAAAUCUUUUACUUCUUCGAGUUACAGUUAUAGAUGGCAUGUAGAAAUUGGCAAAAACUGUAAACUUUUUUUUCAGCUGCUUGUUGUGGCGCUGCUUUUUCAGAACUAAGAUAUUGCCUCUAAAGAAAAUACGGGUAAAUAUAAUCCGAGUGCACGUAUUAAAGAAUAAUUUGUUAAGACAGUUGUUUGGCUCUUUCUCUUUUGGAGAACUGGUGCCUAGAUGCGAUAACAAGAAUCGGCGUCUAUUACCAAAUAUCAGUUCGAUGGAAUACGAAAAAAAAGUAAAUCGAGAAAACUUCUGCCGAGUUGGCAAGGCUAGAAUUCGAAUGCAAAUACGAGAGAAUGCUGGUUGAAGAAAGUUGAACUCACAUGCCUGGUUUCUGGUUUAACCGGAGCUUGGGAUCAAAAUGCAAAUGCAUGUAAAAGGUGCGGAAGGGAUCCGGAGAAUUGAUGAAAAGAGGGGAUCAGAAAAAAUAUUUUAAAAAAAAUAUUAGGGGCGCAAAUCAAACAUUGUUUUACCCAUUUUUUGAUUUCAAUUCGUUCAACACAUGUCUAAAUUUCUUCCUCUCAAUAACAAUCAGGCAUUUGGAAAAUUAAAUGGGCAUUUAGCCAAUGAAUCGUAUAUUACAGGGUAUCAGCCAACUUCUGAUGAUGCUUUAGUUUUUAAAGAAAUGGGGAAGGCCCCAGAAGAGAAAUGGACACACAUCCUCCGUUGGUACAAUCACAUUUCUCAUUUUAAAGAUUCGAUCAAUUCUUGGCCUAAACCAGCCGAGGUAAAUCAGUCGGAAGCUGAUGGAGAAGACAUAGACCUCUUCGGAGAAGAGACAGAAGAAGAAAAGGCAGCAAAUGAAAGCCGCAAGCAGGCAGCAAAAGCUAAGCCAGCUAAGGCUCCAGUCAUAGAAAGGUCCGCCAUCAUAUUGGAUGUCAAGCCUUGGGGCGAAGAAGUAG